rnacentral:rRNA from 1 species
UACGGAGGGGGCUAGCGUUGUUCGGAAUUACUGGGCGUAAAGCGCACGUAGGCGGCUUUGCAAGUUAGAGGUGAAAGCCCGGGGCUCAACUCCGGAAUUGCCUUUAAAACUGCAUCGCUAGAAUUGUGGAGAGGUAAGUGGAAUUCCGAGUGUAGAGGUGAAAUUCGUAGAUAUUCGGAAGAACACCAGUGGCGAAGGCGACUUACUGGACACAUAUUGACGCUGAGGUGCGAAAGCGUGGGGAGCAAACAGGGAU